rnacentral:rRNA from 1 species
GACGAACGCUGGCGGUGUGCUUAACACAUGCAAGUCGAACGAAGUGGCGAACGGGUGAGUAACGCGUAAUCAACCUGCCCUUCAGAGGGGGACAACAGUUGGAAACGACUGCUAAUACCGCAUACUGAAGGAGGGGAUUGCGUCUGAUUAGCUAGUUGGAGGGGUAACGGCCCACCAAGGCGAAGAUCAGUAGCCGGGCUGAGGGGAGGAACGGCCACAUUGGGACUGGAAAACGGCCAAGACUCCUACGGGGGGCAGCAGUGGGGAAUCUUCCGCAAUGGACGAAAGUCUGACGGAGCAACGCCGCGUGAGUGAUGACUGCCUUCGGGUUGUAAAGCUCUGUUAAUCGGGACGCGGUACCGGAAUAGAAAGCCACGGCUAACUACGUGCCAGCCGCCGCGGUAAUAC